rnacentral:misc_RNA from 1 species
AAGUCGUAACAAGGUUUCCGUAGGUGAACCUGCGGAAGGAUCAUUAUUGAAAUGUUUUGAAAAGGGGACUGUUGCUGGCCUCGUAACAGAGGCAUGUGCACGCCUCCUUUCAUUCUAUUCAUCCACCUGUGCACCUUUCUGUAGAAGCUAUUCCAGGUCGUUGUUGGUGGGGCUCGUGCUUCCGUGCGGCUCCGUCUCAUGAUCUUGGGCUUCUAUGCUCUUACAAACUCUAAUAAAUGUAUCUGAAUGUCUAUUUAUCGGGACUUAACUGGCCCUUUAAAACUUAUACAACUUUCAGCAACGGAUCUCUUGGCUCUC